GACAGAGGGUGCAAACGUUGUUCGGAAUUACUGGGCGUAAAGCGCGUGUAGGCUGCUCAGCAAGUCGGAUGUGAAAGCCCUGGGCUUAACCUAGGAAGUGCAUUCGAAACUUCUGAGCUAGAGUUCUGGAGAGGAAGGCGGAAUUCUCGGUGUAGAGGUGAAAUUCGUAGAUAUCGAGAGGAACACCGGUGGCGAAGGCGGCCUUCUGGACAGUGACUGACGCUGAGACGCGAAAGCGUGGGGAGCAAACAGG
rnacentral:rRNA from 1 species